UAAGUAACGAUAAAGCGGGUGAAAAGCCCGCUCGCCGGAAGACCAAGGGUUCCUGUCCAACGUUAAUCGGGGCAGGGUGAGUCGACCCCUAAGGCGAGGCCGAAAGGCGUAGUCGAUGGGAAACAGGUUAAUAUUCCUGUACUUGGUGUUACUGCGAAGGGGGGACGGAGAAGGCUAUGUUAGCCGGGCGACGGUUGUCCCGGUUUAAGCAUGUAGGCUGGUUGUCCAGGCAAAUCCGGAUAAUCAAGGCUGAGGUGUGAUGACGAGGCACUACGGUGCUGAAGUAACAAAUGCCCUGCUUCCAGGAAAAGCCUCUAAGCAUCAGGUAACAUCAAAUCGUACCCCAAACCGACACAGGUGGUCAGGUAGAGAAUACCAAGGCGCUUGAGAGAACUCGGGUGAAGGAACUAGGCAAAAUGGUGCCGUAACUUCGGGAGAAGGCACGCUGGUGUGUAGGUGAAGUCCCUGCGGAUGGAGCUGAGACCAGUCGAAGAUACCAGCUGGCUGCAACUGUUUAUUAAAAACACAGCACUGUGCAAACACGAAAGUGGACGUAUACGGUGUGACGCCUGCCCGGUGCCGGAAGGUUAAUUGAUGGGGUUAUCCGUAAGGAGAAGCUCUUGAUCGAAGCCCCGGUAAACGGCGGCCGUAACUAUAACGGUCCUAAGGUAGCGAAAUUCCUUGUCGGGUAAGUUCCGACCUGCACGAAUGGCGUAAUGAUGGCCAGGCUGUCUCCACCCGAGACUCAGUGAAAUUGAACUCGCUGUGAAGAUGCAGUGUACCCGCGGCAAGACGGAAAGACCCCGUGAACCUUUACUAUAGCUUGACACUGAACAUUGAGCCUUGAUGUGUAGGAUAGGUGGGAGGCUUUGAAGCGUGGACGCCAGUCUGCGUGGAGCCAACCUUGAAAUACCACCCUUUAAUGUUUGAUGUUCUAACGUUGGCCCCUUACCGGGGUUGCGGACAGUGUCUGGUGGGUAGUUUGACUGGGGCGGUCUCCUCCCAAAGCGUAACGGAGGAGCACGAAGGUUAGCUAAUCCUGGUCGGACAUCAGGAGGUUAGUGCAAUGGCAUAAGCUAGCUUGACUGCGAGCGUGACGGCGCGAGCAGGUGCGAAAGCAGGUCAUAGUGAUCCGGUGGUUCUGAAUGGAAGGGCCAUCGCUCAACGGAUAAAAGGUACUCCGGGGAUAACAGGCUGAUACCGCCCAAGAGUUCAUAUCGACGGCGGUGUUUGGCACCUCGAUGUCGGCUCAUCACAUCCUGGGGCUGAAGUAGGUCCCAAGGGUAUGGCUGUUCGCCAUUUAAAGUGGUACGCGAGCUGGGUUUAGAACGUCGUGAGACAGUUCGGUCCCUAUCUGCCGUGGGCGCUGGAGAAUUGAGGGGGGCUGCUCCUAGUACGAGAGGACCGGAGUGGACGCAUCACUGGUGUUCGGGUUGUCAUGCCAAUGGCACUGCCCGGUAGCUAAAUGCGGAAGAGAUAAGUGCUGAAAGCAUCUAAGCACGAAACUUGCCCCGAGAUGAGUUCUCCCUGAGACUU
rnacentral:rRNA from 1 species